AGAGUUUGAUCCUGGCUCAGGAUGAACGCUGGCGGCGUGCUUAACACAUGCAAGUCGAACGAACCUUCGGGUUAGUGGCGGACGGGUGAGUAACGCGUGAGAAUCUGCCCUCAGGAGGGGGAUAACGGCUGGAAACGGCCGCUAAUACCCCAUAUGCCGAGAGGUGAAAUGAAUUUCGCCUGAGGAUGAGCUCGCGUCUGAUUAGCUAGUUGGUGGGGUAAGAGCCUACCAAGGCUUCGAUCAGUAGCUGGUCUGAGAGGAUGAUCAGCCACACUGGGACUGAGACACGGCCCAGACUCCUACGGGAGGCAGCAGUGGGGAAUUUUCCGCAAUGGGCGAAAGCCUGACGGAGCAACGCCGCGUGAGGGAUGAAGGCCUCUGGGCUGUAAACCUCUUUUCUCAAGGAAGAAGAUCUGACGGUACUUGAGGAAUAAGCCACGGCUAAUUCCGUGCCAGCAGCCGCGGUAAUACGGGAGUGGCAAGCGUUAUCCGGAAUUAUUGGGCGUAAAGCGUCCGCAGGCGGCCUUGAAAGUCUGCUGUUAAAGCGUGGAGCUUAACUCCAUUUCAGCAGUGGAAACUACAAGGCUAGAGUGUGGUAGGGGCAGAGGGAAUUCCCGGUGUAGCGGUGAAAUGCGUAGAUAUCGGGAAGAACACCAGUGGCGAAGGCGCUCUGCUGGGCCAUAACUGACGCUCAUGGACGAAAGCCAGGGGAGCGAAAGGGAUUAGAUACCCCUGUAGUCCUGGCCGUAAACGAUGAACACUAGGUGUCGGGGGAAUCGACCCCUCCGGUGUCGUAGCCAACGCGUUAAGUGUUCCGCCUGGGGAGUACGCACGCAAGUGUGAAACUCAAAGGAAUUGACGGGGGCCCGCACAAGCGGUGGAGUAUGUGGUUUAAUUCGAUGCAACGCGAAGAACCUUACCAGGGUUUGACAUCCUGCGAAUCCCUUGGAAACGAGGGAGUGCCUUCGGGAGCGCAGUGACAGGUGGUGCAUGGCUGUCGUCAGCUCGUGUCGUGAGAUGUUGGGUUAAGUCCCGCAACGAGCGCAACCCACGUCUUUAGUUGCCAGCAUUGAGUUGGGCACUCUAGAGAGACCGCCGGUGAUAAACCGGAGGAAGGUGUGGAUGACGUCAAGUCAUCAUGCCCCUUACAUCCUGGGCUACACACGUACUACAAUGCUACGGACAAAGGGCAGCAAACUCGCGAGAGCUAGCAAAUCCCAUAAACCGUGGCUCAGUUCAGAUCGUAGGCUGCAACUCGCCUACGUGAAGGAGGAAUCGCUAGUAAUCGCAGGUCAGCAUACUGCGGUGAAUACGUUCCCGGGCCUUGUACACACCGCCCGUCACACCAUGGAAGUUGGCCACGCCCGAAGUCGUUACUCCAACCCGCAAGGGAGGAGGAUGCCGAAGGUGGGGCUGAUGACU
rnacentral:rRNA from 1 species